rnacentral:rRNA from 1 species
CGCCUGUUUAUCAAAAACAUCUUUUCUCGUUAGUUUUUGAAGUAUGGCCUGCCCACUGACUUUGAGUGUUGAAGGGCCGCGGUAUUUUGACCGUGCAAAGGUAGCAUAGUCAUUAGUUCUUUAAUUGUGAUCUGGUAUGAAUGGCUUGACGAGGCAUGAGCUGUCUUAAUUUUGGAUUGUUUAUUGAAUUUGGUCUUUGAGUUAAAAUUCUUAGAUGUUUUUAUGGGACGAGAAGACCCUAUAGAGUUUAACAUUUAUUAUGGUCUCUUUCUGUUUGUGAGGGUUCAUUAGGGCUGUCUAAUAUGUUUUGUUGGGGUGAUGGGAGGGAUAUUAUUUAACCCCUCCUUUUUGUUGUUAUAUUUAUUUAUAUUUGCUUGAUCCAUUUAUUUUGAUUGUAAGAUUAAAUUACCUUAGGGAUAACAGCGUAA